rnacentral:rRNA from 1 species
UACAUAGGGUGCUAGCGUUGCUCGGAAUAACUGGGCGUAAAGCACAUGUAGGAGGAUUUAUAAGUUAAAAGUGUAAUCCCCGAGCUUAACUCGGGAACUGCUUUUAAUACUGUUGAUCUGGAGGAAGAUAGAGGAUAGCGGAAUUCUUAGUGGAGGGGUUAAAUCCGUAGAUAUUAAGAGGAACACCGAAAGCGAAAGCAGCUAUUUAGGUCUUUCCUGACUCUGAGAUGUGAAAGCGUGGGGAGCAAAC